CCUAGCUUCCAGGCUGAGCAGACAUGCCAAUCCCAAGCUCCUGACGAAACUCACUACUUUGGGGAAAAUACCCUAGAAAAUCAACACACCUGCAAUUUGGAGUGCUACAGUUGUGCUGGGGUAACCCAGGUGAACUCUGGACACCAGACUCAUCGUUAUAUCCAACCGGGAACCCAGAAUCAUCUGCUGAGGCCUACCGGGGAUCGAGCAGGGGAGAGGCAGCCGCUCUCCUCGCUUGCAAACUGGCACAAAACUCAACUCUCCAUUCUCCUACCUCUCUCCCCCCCCCAUCCCCUUUGGACCGGCAGGGGAUAUCCCGGUCCUCAUUGGGCACCCGGAGCAACCCGUCCGGAUCGAACUCAAAGUAUCAGUGGCACUUUCCCCACAAGGCACACACAAGAUGUUGGCUGAACGCUCGCUACAUAUGCUGAGCCAGCUCCCAAAUCAAAUGCACCUUCAUGAUACCACUUUGGAUAUCAUGUAGCGCCUAGAGGAAUUGUUCAGUUGCUUCUGGGAGAGGCUUCGGAGACGCAAGCAGGAAGCCCAGAUCGAGCAGCAAGACUCCCCAGAAGCGGGGAGCGAGGGGUACACCCACCAAUGCUCACUCUCCCUAGCCCACCUGGGCUGAAAGCCAAGAGGGCUUUGAUCCAACAGCAUCGCUUACACUGGCGGUGGCCCACAUGCCGCAAACGGCAGUAAACCACCAAGCCCUCCGCCACUCCCACACGAGGAGGAAACUCGGGCUCUGGAAGCCUCCGAAUUUGUGGCCAAGAGAUGCAGGCCUACACACCUGCCUGGGGCUGGAUGGACACCCUCACUCGCACCUGUAUGGCAGCGGUCCACCAGCAGGAUUUAGAUGCCUCCCGACAGAGGGAAUCGGAUGAGAGAGAUAACCACACACAGACUUUCUCAUGACAGGAGCACUCUCUCCACCAUGUUCCUGUGCAUAUAACUCAGCCACAAUGCCUCCUAUAACCAUGACCAUAAUGCUAAGAGUCUAGAGGGGUUUUCCCCUACAGCCCUGGACCACAGUGAAUUGUAAUCUUCAGAGUAGCCAGUUAUGUUUUAUAGAAUCUUAUUACCCGCAUGACCGGUAAACCAGACUCAUAGCAUCCUUGUACACUGCAUGUCUAGCCCAGCUCAUUUCUCUAUCAACUGUAUCCAGAGUUCACGAUACAUAAUCAGAGUGUUUGUCCAAACAGUUUCUACCUAUGUCAACAUGUUCACUUACUCUAACAUCCUGAAGUUCAUAAUGUGCAAUUUACAAGACUGUACCAGGCUACCGAUAUCAGCAUGUUUAAGCACAUUUACCAUCUCUAGCAUUAAUCAACAUAGCUACUGUGUUAUUGUUUACAUUAUAAAACUGUGCAUGUCUCUCCUUUUACCCCAAAUGUAAUGCAUGACAAUGAGCCUG